CCCCUUCCCCUGCAUUUUUUCCUAAGUACCCCUUACACACGUGCCUCCAUGCUCCUAUGGUAACAGGGCUGCUGGAGGCUGAAACCUCCAGCCUAGCUGUUCAGCACCAUGCUCUGGACCCUCUGCCCAAACUCUCUCAGCCAGGGUUGGGGUGCAGGGGCUGGAGCUCAGGCCCAGAGCUGCCAAACCACAAACACUCACAUCUGGAAAAAAUUCUCCUCCCAGCCCAACUUCCCUUUGUCUUACUUCUGUCUCUUUGUAGGAGAGAUGCCUACUGAGGAGGAGACUGGACUCUUCUGCCUGGGGGCUCAAGAAGGCUGGAGCGGAGAGGGACAGGAGACCUGGAUCGAAGCUGCAGCCGAAUGAUGGGGGAGGAGCAGUGCCUCAACCCCAAGCCCUAAGCACCCCCCAGGGACCACCCCUUCCCUCCACCGUCUCUGCUUUUGUCUAUCCAUCUUCCCAGAGCCCUUCGACCCGCUGCCCCCUCACUUGCAGAAGACCAGGCCAACCCCUACCCUGCUCCCC
ensembl:lncRNA